UCCCCCCCGGGCCCUGCGACCCAGCCCACAGGAGCGCACCCCCUGAUAGGUGACGGAUAGGGGACAGCGUCUCCCCACGCGUGGUCCGCCCAGAGUGACCGGCUGCACCUUCCUGUCCCGGGUGAGGAAGCCCCAACCCGCCCGCGUGUGGAGGUUCGCACUGUUCAGGCCGUAUCUGAGGGGCGUCCUGCACAGGAAUUCUGGGGAGAAGGAAGCCAGCCGUGAAGGGAGGGGGAAAGCACUGAGGACACACCCCCAAGACCCUCCCUCGCCUCCCACGUGAGGCCGCACUGGCGUCUGCACGUCCAGGCGGACGAGGAGGCGGUCCAGGCGGACCCCGGAGGAGGGCAGGCCCUGCUCAGUUCGGGGGAUGAGAGGCCGUGUGGGUCGUCACCACUGUCUGCUUCCUGGGGGCCCUUGCUGACCCCUCGCCCACAGGGCGAUUGCCCCGGCGGCACAGGGGCAGCCCACGCAAGGGUCAGAGGCCCCGUACGCAUGGACAUCCCAGAGGGAGCGUCGAGUCCCCCUGGACUCUGGGAAGGGGGGCCGGACCCCCAGGAGCCAGCGCAGGUCUCCACAAGCUUAGUGGAGCAAAACUGCAGUUUCUUUUCAAGUCAUCUUUCAGUUCUGGAGGUCGGAAGUCAGAAGCCGGUCUCACUGGGCUAAAAUCAGACAGCAGCAGGCGGCACCUCCUUCGUGGGCUCCGGGACAGCGCAUGUCCCGUCCCCCAGCCUCCAGAGCUGCCCGCCUUCCCUGCCCGAGGCCUCCCGCCUCCCCCUUCGGGGCUGAUGACCGGCCAGGGCUCCCUCGCGCAGAGCCGCGCUGACGCCCCUCCCCACACCUCCCGCCGGAUCCUCUCCCCUGCCUGCCUCCUUCUCCCGGGAUCGCCACUGGGGCCGCCCAGAUCACGUACAAUAACCUCCCCAUUUUAAAGCCAGCCGUUGGGCAGCCUCGUUCCUCCCUGACGUGCAGUAUGACCUGAUCACAGAUUAUGGGGCGCAUCUGGCGGUGGAGGCGUCUCUUCCGCCUACGGCAGGUGGCAGACAAGACGAAUUUGGGGAAGCUGAUGCUACAGUGCAGAUGGGCUAAACAACCACCUGCUCUCAUGGGCUGAAAUAAGAAACUUACACCAGGACGUCAGAGAUACCUUAAUAAUUCUGACGACUUCUCCUUGAGGCCCUCCCAUUUGAAUGUGGGAUCUGGUCCCAAGAAGGAUUGGAGCCCCGUCAGACGCUGGUUGGGGAAACACCCACUUGUCCUGUGAAACCUGAGCAGGGAGGCUGGGCUCCCCUCAGCCCCACCAGGGAGCUCUCCACAACUAGCCUCUCUGGAAGGAACCGUUUCUCAGGCGCCAGUAGAUGAGGAAAUUCCCUGAUCUCAUACUUCCCGUGGGUCUCACUGCCACGUCUGUCACCCUGCGGACAUGCAACAGCGGGAGGCGGGCUGGGCCGAGGCCGUGUCGGGCCAUGGCCUCCAGAGCUGUCACCGUCCUCUGUCCUGCCCAGUUCUCUCCGGACUAUCCACUUGACUUCAUUUAAAGGGAUGUCGCCUUGGGGCAGCCCGACUGUGCAGCCAGUGUUUUCCUGUGCACCACCCCAGCGCUGAGCACCAGGUGGUACCAGGACCAGGUGUGCCACCGAGCUACUGGCUUGGCCUCCUAAUGGGUGUGACCCCCUGUGCCUCCACAUCUCCUCUCUACCAGCUCCCUCUAAAGACUGUAGCCUUUGAAAUAUAAAUAUGUUUAUCUCCCCUUAAAACUCCUCAGUCAUCUAUCCUCAGAUAAGCCUGCUGACUUCCCCAGGCUCCCCCAGCCCUCAUCGCCUGGCCUUGUGUCUCCUCUGGCACACUUUACACUGUCCCUCCACGUCUUUGCUCUUCAUCCACGCUGACCUUGAUUUAGUUUCUCCCUCACUUGCUCCGUUUUACUAACUCAGGUCCUUCUGUUAUCAUCCGUGGUCCCCCAAACCUGCUGCCCACUUCGCCUGAGCAGUCAGGCCUCAUCCUCACAUGCCUCAGGACCCUCACAUCUGUUACCAGGCCUCCAAAUUCCACGUCUUUAUACCGCAGACCACA